rnacentral:rRNA from 1 species
ACCUACGGGGCGCAGCAGUAGGGAAUCUUCCACAAUGGGCGAAAGCCUGAUGGAGCAACGCCGCGUGGGUGAAGAAGGUUUUCGGAUCGUAAAACCCUGUUGUUAGAGAAGAAAGUGCGUGAGAGUAACUGUUCACGUUUCGACGGUAUCUAACCGGAAAGCCACGGCUAACUACGUGCCAGCAGCCGCGGUAAUACGUAGGUGGCAAGCGUUAUCCGGAUUUAUUGGGCGUAAAGGGAACGCAGGCGGUCUUUUAAGUCUGAUGUGACAGCCUUCGGAUUAACCGGAGUAGUGCAUUGGAAACU